AUUGAACGCUGGCGGCAUGCCUUACACAUGCAAGUCGAACGGUAACAGGUCUUCGGAUGCUGACGAGUGGCGAACGGGUGAGUAAUACAUCGGAACGUGCCUAGUAGUGGGGGAUAACUACUCGAAAGAGUGGCUAAUACCGCAUGAGAUCUACGGAUGAAAGCAGGGGAUCGCAAGACCUUGUGCUACUAGAGCGGCCGAUGGCAGAUUAGGUAGUUGGUGGGAUAAAAGCUUACCAAGCCGACGAUCUGUAGCUGGUCUGAGAGGACGAUCAGCCACACUGGGACUGAGACACGGCCCAGACUCCUACGGGAGGCAGCAGUGGGGAAUUUUGGACAAUGGGCGCAAGCCUGAUCCAGCAAUGCCGCGUGCAGGAUGAAGGCCUUCGGGUUGUAAACUGCUUUUGUACGGAACGAAAAGCCCUGGGUUAAUACCCUGGGGUCAUGACGGUACCGUAAGAAUAAGCACCGGCUAACUACGUGCCAGCCGCAGUAACAC
rnacentral:rRNA from 1 species